CAGGCCAGUCUCGAACUCCUGGCCUCAAGCGAUCCUCCCACCUCGGCCUCCCAAAGGACUGGGAUUACAGGUACGAGUCACUGCGCCCAGGCUUUUCUCCCUUUUGACUCAUUUUGAGGCCCCCGUCGUAGGGUACACGCCCUGGGAAUCGGGGGUCUUCCAGUAUAGGGAACCACCGAGAUGCGGGCCCUCCGAAGUCCUAGAGAGGGCGCCUCGGCCGCCGGCACCCGCCACACUUCCGGCCUUUGUGGGCCGCAGCGACGGCGGUCUGCGGCUGUCGGUUCUGUUUGUUGCUGUCACUGCUGUUUGUUCUUGCCAGCGGCUAGGUGUGUAGUUGCUUGGGGCUCCUAGCACGAGGCCUCUGUCCCCAGGCACGCAGCGCCAGUCUCCGGCUGUUGCGCCCUGGGCGCCGCCUCUCUCCGGCCCCCCUUUGUUUCCUGAGCCAGCUGGGAAGACUAAAAGGGGUCUGGCUGUUUUGCCCAGAAUGGAGUGCAGUGGCGUGAUGGUCUCGGCUGACAGCAGCCUCGACCUCCUGGGCUCAAGCCUUGGCCUCCCAAAGUGCUGGGAUUACAGCCCCACCUGCAGAGUCAAGUCCCUCCUCCCACCUCAGCACUGCUAGAAAAGAGCUUCAGGAUGGAGCCACACAUGUCACUCAAGCCCAAGGGUCAGUCAACAGCCCACAGCCCUAAAUUCAUCUGUGUCCAAUGCCAGACCCUGCAACUGCUGAUUUACAUGAAUCAACUCCAUCAUGCAAGCCUCAUGACAUCCCAAUGAGCCACCAUCCUGUGAGGAAGCCCAGAGCACAUGAAGAGACCACCUGCACAUGUUCAGAUCCACUGCCCCAGCUAAGAUCUCCGCUGACAGCCAGACCAAUCACCAAUCUUAGGAGCUGGCGAGCCUUCAGAUGGUCCAACCUUUGAGGCCCCCCAGAGGAGCCAGGUGGAGCAUAGAUGAGCCAUCCAUGUGGAUCCCUCCACCAAAUGGAAGAUUUAGGAGCAAAAUAAACAAUGUUGUCAUUGCUUUC
rnacentral:lncRNA from 1 species